UACGUAGGGUGCGAGCGUUGUCCGGAAUUAUUGGGCGUAAAGAGCUCGUAGGCGGCCUGUCGCGUCGGUUGGUGAAAGCCCCGGGGCUUAACCCCGGGGUCUGCAGUCGAUACGGGCAGGCUAGAGUUCGGUAGGGGAGAUCGGAAUUCCGUGGUGUAGCGGUGAAAUGCGCAGAUAUCAGGAGGAACACCGGUGGCGAAGGCGGAUCUCUGGGCAGUAACUGACGCUGAGGAGCGAAAGCGUGGGGAGCAAACAGG
rnacentral:rRNA from 1 species